GGGGAAUAUUGGACAAUGGGCGAAAGCCUGAUCCAGCCAUGCCGCGUGUGUGAAGAAGGUCUUCGGAUUGUAAAGCACUUUAAGUUGGGAGGAAGGGCAGUAAGUUAAUACCUUGCUGUUUUGACGUUACCAACAGAAUAAGCACCGGCUAACUUCGUGCCAGCAGCCGCGGUAAUACGAAGGGUGCAAGCGUUAAUCGGAAUUACUGGGCGUAAAGCGCGCGUAGGUGGUUUUGUAAGUUGGAGGUGAAAUCCCCGGGCUCAACCUGGGAACUGCCUCCAAAACUGCAUGACUAGAGUACGGUAGAGGGUAGUGGAAUUUCCUGUGUAGCGGUGAAAUGCGUAGAUAUAGGAAGGAACACCAGUGGCGAAGGCGACUACCUGGACUGAUACUGACACUGAGGUGCGAAAGCGUGGGGAGCAAAC
rnacentral:rRNA from 1 species